rnacentral:snRNA from 1 species
GAAGCUGAUUGGCGGGAUC